AUUGAACGCUGGCGGCAGGCCUAACACAUGCAAGUCGAACGCGUGGCGGACGGGUGAGUAAUGUCUGGGAAACUGCCUGAUGGAGGGGGAUAACUACUGGAAACGAUAGCUAAUACCGCAUACCAUCGGAUGUGCCCAGAUGGGAUUAGCUAGUUGGGUGGGUAACGGCCCACCAAGGCGACGAUCCCUAGCUGGUCGGAGAGGAUGAACAGCCACACUGGAACGGAGACACGGUCCAGACUACGACGGUAGGCAGCAGUGGGGAAUAGUGCACAAGUGGCGCAAGCCUGAUGCAGCCAUGCCGCGUGUAUGAAGAAGGCCUUCGGGUUGUAAAGUACUUUCAGCGGUGAGGCGUUACCCGCAGAAGAAGCACCGGCUAACUCCGUGCCAGCAGCCGCGGUAAUAC
rnacentral:rRNA from 1 species